UUCUGUGUCCGGGUCCCGUACAUUUUGAGCUCCCUUUCUCUUCCUCCGUCUCCUUCCCCUUUCUCAUGCCUGAACCCCCUUCGCUUCUUGAUACUUGAUUCUCUAAAUCGAUGCUCGAUAGAUCCCAAAAGAGAGGAAUCCCACGAUGUCCCUCGUCCAACUCGCCUUCCCCUCGGUCUCCUUCGCCACUUCCAUCCCCCCUCCCGAGCUCAAACCCAAAAAUACUAACCCCACCUUCUCUCGCCUCAACGGCAUCACCACCCGUUCCGGGAGACCCGAUUCCUUAUUAAGAGUGGUGUUUCCGGCGUGGUCUUCUUCGAGGAGGCAGCGGAGGCAAUGCCGCGGGGUCGUCUGCUACGCCACGCCGGUCAGCCCCCAGACGCUGCAGUGGGUUUCGGCCGUCUCCGCCGCAAAGAUCAAGAAAGAGACACGGAGAGUGUGUCAGAAAAAAGAAGGGGUAUUAAUGCUGGCUAAAGGCACUACCAUCCAAAAAUCAUUUCUUGUUCCUUUGUUUGCACUGCAAGCACCUACAAGCAUCAUCUCAUGGAUUAAGGGUGAAUAUGGUACUUGGACUGUUUUUUUGGCACUGCUGCUCCGUUUAUUCUACUUCAUUCCAGGGGAACUGGUUUUACCUUUCUUAACAAUGCUGCUUGUGAUAGUCGCUCCUUAUCAAGCCAUGAACCUUAGGUAAGUUGGUGCCCCGUGCAUGAAGAUCUACCCUGCAACAAGAGAAAUAUAUGUUCCAAUUUCUUUUUUAGAGAGGAACUCAAGCUGGUACAAUUAUGUCCUUGGCAAUUGCUGGGUUAUUGGCUUUCCAACAUUUCUCAAGGAUUGGAAGCUUGAGAAGGGCAUUUGAUCAAGGAUCAAUUGUUGCAACCUUGGCUGUCAUCUGCACUUUUAUUGUUCCAUGCUUGUUUUUGUUAUGAUCUUGUUUGCAUCAAGAAGCCUUCAAGUGGAUAUAGAAAAUGAGAAGGCUGUUGAGGAAGACCUGAUCUAUUCCAGCUUUCUGAACAAAGGUUCCAAAAGUAAGAUUUUUGAUGAUAUAUGUUGGGAUAAGUGCAACAUUACUUGUUAGUUCAUAAAAUCUUUAGGAGUUACCAAAAUAAUGGUAGAAUCUGUAUGUACGAUGAUAUAUGUUGGAACAAAGACCCCGUUACAAGCAUUUUCUUAAAAAUUUCAAGAUAGGAAGUGUCUUGAAUUUAUUACAUGAUCUCCAUUUUUUCUU